UCCAGGAUCUACUCAAUGUUGCUAUCCCUGACCCAGCACUGGAGGCAAGUAACAUCAGACGUGGACGACCUGCGGUAGAAAAAAUCUCCGAUGUCGUGUUGGAGUAUCCGGAGACACUGAACGCAGACAAUUCGUCCAGGCACGACAGCGUGACCAAGCCUCAAGAAGACCUGGGUCGACCCAUCUGAUCAUCUCUUCAAGACCAGACUCAGAACAACUAGCUCCGAAUAAUGAACCUGCACCUCAACGACAAAUGACCAUCACCAGCAGCAGCAGCAGCAGCAGCAGCACUGUACUCCUUCAGCCUUCACAGUCAGCUUCAGCUUCGAAUCGACAAAUGUGCUGUAACCCUGAAUGCGGGUAUCCGGAGCUACCGCUAAAGCCAUGCCGCAACAACAAUUGUGGCCAUUACUUCCAUCACCUGUGCACGUUACACGACAUGGGAACAUAUUGCAAGCACUGCCAUUUCAGAGCGUGGUGAAGUUUUCCGUGACCCUGCUUUUAUUAUGCCUUUAUAUACUCAUUCUUAAACCUGUCCCUCCAGGAACUUGCGAUUCCGCGGCCGCGUUGUUUUCCGCGAUUUGAACAAAAGUCCGUGAUAUCCGCGAUAUUUGAAAAAUCAUCCGCGUUAUUGUAGAAAACUGUCCUUGAUACUUGAAAAGCACCGCGAUAUUUCGAAAAGCAACCGCGAUAUUCGGGUCUUUCUUCGAUGUUGUUUAGUUCUUCAAGCUCAUCAGUAGUUUACUUGUGAGAUCGACACCAGAAUGUCGAAGUUUCUGGGCAAAUCAGCGGCUGACAAGUCACAAAAUAAGGCUCGCGUCGAGUGUUGUCCGAGGAUGGUGGAAAGCUGUCUUGCAGUUGAACACAGUCAGCGCAACACACGUACGUUCUGUUUUGUCAUGCAUGAUUUAUGCUGUACGAUCCGUACAUCGUACAGCACUACAGUACAAGUACCAAAAUCGGCCGCAAUUUCCGCAUUUUUACCACAAUAAUCCCGCAAUAUUUGACAAAAUCCGCAAUAUUCCCCGCAAUUUGUGGCAUUUUACCUCGCAAC